UACGGGGGGGGCAAGCGUUGUUCGGAAUUACUGGGCGUAAAGGGCGCGUAGGCGGCCUGCUAAGUCGGACGUGAAAUCCCUCGGCUCAACCGAGGAACUGCGUCCGAUACUGUGGGCUUGAAUCCGGGAGAGGGAUGUGGAAUUCCAGGUGUAGCGGUGAAAUGCGUAGAUAUCUGGAGGAACACCGGUGGCGAAGGCGGCAUCCUGGACCGGUAUUGACGCUGAGGCGCGAAAGCGUGGGGAGCAAACAGG
rnacentral:rRNA from 1 species